UACAGAGGUCCCAAGCGUUGUUCGGAUUCACUGGGCGUAAAGGGCGCGUAGGUGGCGACGCAAGUCCGUGGUGAAAGCUCGUCGCUUAACGACGAGUCGGCCACGGAGACUGGGUGGCUCGAGCACUGUAGGGGCAGAUGGAAUUCCGGGUGUAGCGGUGGAAUGCGUAGAGAUCCGGAAGAACACCAGUGGCGAAGGCGGUCUGCUGGGCAGUUGCUGACACUGAGGCGCGACAGCGUGGGGAGCAAACAGG
rnacentral:rRNA from 1 species